GACGUGGCCCCGCCCUCUGAGAACCCGGAAGCGGGAGUCUCGCGCCAGCUGAGCGGCGGUCGGGCGGGGGGAGCGCGGCGGCCCAAGCUCGCUCGGCCACGCGCCCCGCCCCCUCAGAGGCCGGCCUCCCGCACGCACCGCGCAGCCUGCUGUGCCCGUGGGUCCCGAGUGCUCCGCCGCCCGCCCCGACCCGGGCCCAGCCGCCUCCACGGCCCGCGCUCGUACUGGAGCGAAGAGCGGCCUCCUGAAGGAGGGGAAGGGACGUGGGGGCGGCCACGGCAGAUUAUUGUGGAUGAUGAUGACAGUAAGAUAUGGUCGCUCUAUGACGCGGGCCCCCGAAGUAUCAGGUGUCCUCUCAUAUUCCUGCCCCCUGUCAGUGGAACUGCAGAUGUCUUUUUCCGGCAGAUUUUGGCUCUGACUGGAUGGGGUUACCGGGUUAUCGCUUUGCAGUAUCCAGUUUAUUGGGACCAUCUCGAGUUCUGUGAUGGAUUCAGAAAACUUUUAGACCAUUUACAAUUGGAUAAAGUUCAUCUUUUUGGCGCUUCUUUGGGAGGCUUUUUGGCCCAGAAAUUUGCUGAAUACACUCACAAAUCUCCUAGAGUCCAUUCCCUAAUCCUCUGCAAUUCCUUCAGUGACACCUCUAUCUUCAACCAAACUUGGACUGCAAACAGCUUUUGGCUGAUGCCUGCAUUUAUGCUCAAAAAAAUAGUUCUUGGAAAUUUUUCAUCUGGCCCGGUGGACCCUAUGAUGGCUGAUGCCAUUGAUUUCAUGGUAGACAGGCUAGAAAGUUUGGGUCAGAGUGAACUGGCUUCAAGACUUACCUUGAAUUGUCAAAAUUCUUAUGUGGAACCUCAUAAAAUUCGGGACAUACCUGUAACUAUUAUGGAUGAAUAACACCAUUGAAAUCAAAAUAGGCCGAGCACAGUGGCUUAUGCCUGUAAUCCCAGCGCUUUGGGAGGCUGAGGCAGGAGGAUUGCUUGAGUCCAAGAGUUCAGGACCAGCCUGGGCAACAUAGUG
rnacentral:lncRNA from 1 species